rnacentral:rRNA from 1 species
GACGAACGCUGGCGGCGUGCUUAACACAUGCAAGUCGAACGAUGAACCCGGAGCUUGCUCCGGCGGAUUAGUGGCGAACGGGUGAGUAACACGUGAGUAACCUGCCCUUGACUCUGGGAUAACUGCUAGAAAUGGUAGCUAAUACCGGAUACGACCCUCGGUGGCAUCACCAGGGGGUGGAAAGAAUUUCGGUCAAGGAUGGACUCGCGGCCUAUCAGCUAGUUGGUGAGGUAACGGCUCACCAAGGCGACUACGGGUAGCCGGCCUGAGAGGGGGACCGGCCACACGGGGACUGCAACACGGCCCAGACUCCUCCGGGAGGCAGCAGUGGGGAAUUUUGCAGACUGGGCGCAAGCCUGAUGCAGCAACGCCGCGUGAGGGAUGACGGCCUUCGGGUUGUAAACCUCUUUUAGUAGGGAAGAAGCGAAAGUGACGGUACCUGAAGAAAAAGCACCGGCUAACGACGUGCCAGCCGCCGCGGUAA